rfam:Gossypium arboreum cultivar AKA8401 contig_5437_3, whole genome shotgun sequence.
AAUCCAUGCAUUGGACAUUUUCGAAUUAAAUCUUUAAAUCAUUCCCAAGCUUCAUAUAAUGUUCCAUCCUCCUAUUGUCGAAAAGAAGUGAUGUAAUUUCUAAGCUU